rnacentral:rRNA from 1 species
GACGAACGCUGGCGGCGUGCCUAAUACAUGCAAGUAGAACGCUGAAGGAGGAGCUUGCUUCUCUGGAUGAGUUGCGAACGGGUGAGUAACGCGUAGGUAACCUGCCUGGUAGCGGGGGAUAACUAUUGGAAACGAUAGCUAAUACCGCAUAAGAGUAGAUGUCGCAUGACAUUUGCUUAAAAGGUGCAAUUGCAUCACUACCAGAUGGACCUGCGUUGUAUUAGCUAGUUGGUGAGGUAACGGCUCACCAAGGCAACGAUACAUAGCCGACCUGAGAGGGUGAUCGGCCACACUGGGACUGAGACACGGCCCAGACUCCUACGGGAGGCAGCAGUAGGGAAUCUUCGGCAAUGGACGGAAGUCUGACCGAGCAACGCCGCGUGAGUGAAGAAGGUUUUCGGAUCGUAAAGCUCUGUUGUAAGAGAAGAACGAGUGUGAGAGUGGAAAGUUCACACUGUGACGGUAUCUUACCAGAAAGGGACGGCUAACCACGUG